rnacentral:rRNA from 1 species
GGGGAAUAUUGCGCAAUGGGCGAAAGCCUGACGCAGCGACGCCGCGUGGGGGAUGAAGGCCUUCGGGUUGUAAACCUCUUUCGGCAGGGACGAAGUUGACGUGUACCUGCGGAAGAAGCGCCGGCUAACUACGUGCCAGCAGCCGCGGUAAUACGUAAGGCGCGAGCGUUGUCCGGAAUUAUUGGGCGUAAAGAGCUCGUAGGCGGCUGGUCGCGUCUGCCGUGAAAGCCCGCGGCUUAACCGUGGGUCUGCGGUGGAUACGGGCCGGCUAGAGGCAGGCAGGGGCAAGUGGAAUUCCUGGUGUAGCGGUGAAAUGCGCAGAUAUCAGGAGGAACACCGGUGGCGAAGGCGGCUUGCUGGGCCUGUCCUGACGCUGAGGAGCGAAAGCGUGGGGAGCGAAC